rnacentral:rRNA from 7 species
GUUGACCUCGAAUCAGGUAGGAAUACCCGCUGAACUUAA